AUUGAACGCUGGCGGCAUGCCUUACACAUGCAAGUCGAACGGCAGCACGGGAGCUUGCUCCUGGUGGCGAGUGGCGAACGGGUGAGUAAUACAUCGGAACGUACCCUGAAGUGGGGGAUAACGUAGCGAAAGUUACGCUAAUACCGCAUAUUCUGUGAGCAGGAAAGAGGGGGAUCGCAAGACCUCUUGCUUUAGGAGCGGCCGAUGUCGGAUUAGCUAGUUGGUGAGGUAAAGGCUCACCAAGGCGACGAUCCGUAGCGGGUCUGAGAGGAUGAUCCGCCAC
rnacentral:rRNA from 1 species